rnacentral:rRNA from 1 species
CCUACGGGCGGCAGCAGUAGGGAAUCUUCCACAAUGGACGAAAGUCUGAUGGAGCAACGCCGCGUGUGUGAUGAAGGGUUUCGGCUCGUAAAACACUGUUGUAAGAGAAGAAUGACAUUGAGAGUAACUGUUCAGUGUGUGACGGUAUCUUACCAGAAAGGAACGGCUAAAUACGUGCCAGCAGCCGCGGUAAUACGUAUGUUCACAGCGUUAUCCGGAUUUAUUGGGCGUAAAGCGAUCGUAGACGGUUGGUGAGGUCCGGAGUGAAAGCCAACAGCUUAACUGUGGAUGUGCUUUGGAAACUGGAUAACUUGAGUGCAGUAGAGGAGAUUGGAACUCCAUGUGUGUCGGUGAAAUGCGUAGAUAUAUGGAAGGACACCAGUGGCGAAGGCGGCUCUCUGGACUGUAACUGACGUUGAGGCUCGAAAGUGUGGGUAGCAAACAGGAUUAGAUACCCUAGUAGUC